UCUACCACUGAGCCAUUGGCCUAGGCCUUUUUUCCUUUUUAGUUUUUAAAAAAUUAUUUGUAUUUAUGGGAGUUCAGAUACACAUGCUGUGUUGUGCAUCUAGUGGUCACAGGACAUCAUGUUUCUCUGUACAUCAUGUCAGUCCUAGUGUUUGACCUCAAAUUAUCAGGCCUGGGAGCAAGCACCUUUACCCACUAAGCCACAUUAUAGGCUUUUUUUCCCUCCAUUUUGGGGGGAGGGUUUAUUUGUUAUUGUUUAAGACAGGGUUUCUUUGUAGCCCUGGCUGUCUUGGAACUCUCUCUGUAAACCAGAGCGCAAAGAUCCUCCUGCCUUUGCCUCCCAAGUGAAGAUUAAAGGUGUUUAUCGCCACACUUAGCUUUUUUGGUUGGGUGUCUUUUGUGUUGGGGGGGGGCAGGGUUCUGCUGCCUAGCUCUGGCUGGCCUAGAACUCACUGUGUAGAACAGCCAGCCUCAGGCUUGGGGUGAUUCCCCUGUAUCUGCCUCCUGAGGGUGGGAAUUGUGGCUAUGUGCCACUGUGUAUGGCUGUCAUAUCCUUUAAAUAUGUGUCAGAAAUGAGCAAUCCUUAGUUCAGUUCCCAGUGCCAGCAAAGACACAAGCCAGCCGCUCCUGUCCUUUGAUGAAGGCAACUUCCGCUUUGUAAGUUUUACGCAUAUUAAGUGGCCAGGUAGGCUGGACGCUGUGGUACAGGCUUUUAGUCUUGGCACUCAAGAGUCAGAGGCAGUGGAUCUCUGCAAGUUCAAGGCCAGCCUGGUUUACAUAGUGAGUUCCAGGACAGCCAGGGCUACUUAGAGAGACCUUGUGUUUGAGGGGGGAAAAAGCUGGUUAAAGACACUCUUGCAGCAGGGCCUUACCCUGUGGUUCUCUCUAACUGCCACACUCGCGCUCCCCUCAGACAGCCACUAGGCUCAACCUCUAAAUUUAAGCUGCAGCUUGAAUUCGCCACCUCCAGGAAAGCCUCCCUAACUCUCCUCACUGUACAAAACAUUAUCACUCUUAACUACUCUGGGCACAGGGGCUCUCUAUGCAUCCCGGGCUAGCCUCAAACUCAAGAGCUUCUUUCUUCAACCUCAUGAGCGCUAAGAUUUCAGUGUGAGCCGCCCUUGCCUGGUGCCUCUCAGUAGGCAUCGUUUCUCCUGUUAAUAGUUAUUAUCUAUAUGGCAUUAUGUGUAGUAUGCUAUUUGUGGCAUGUAUCCCCCAAUACAUCAGCUCCCUAAGGGGAAGGAAUUGUCUCUUCCUCCAGUGUAUCCAUCCCCAGGAAGAGGAUCUCAAUACACAUUGAUGAAACAUUUUAAAACACUUUGUAACAACUUCUAAGUAAGCAAGUUGGAGUUCAGGGGAUGAGUCAUUGGAAAUGUGAGGAUCAGAGCUGAAGCCACAUAUAUGAUAGGCAGGAAUGGCAGCAAGCCAUUCAAGCUUCAGACAUGCUCUUGUAAUUCCAGCCCUGGAAGGCAGAGAUGGAAAUCCCCAUGGCAAGCUGACUGGCGGUGGGGUGGCGGGGUGGAGCCAGAUCAGUGAGCUCUGGGUUUGAUUGAACGGUCCUGCCUCAAAAGACUUUAAGACAGAGCAGCUCCCAACAACUCUGGACAGCGACUCUGGGCUGCCAGCAUGCACGUGCGCGCACGCACACCCACACAUGCAUGCAAGCCUGCAUUCCUAUACCAUGCACACAACACAUGAACAUGCAACAAACUUAUUGCCCUGGUUUCACAGAAAGAGAUCAAAUUGAGAAUGUAGGUUGGGCUUCUGGCAGUUUCCAUGCCUGCUGAGUGAGUUCCAAGCGUAACCGUUGACUACAUUCUGUCCUCCCCAUUAACUGGACAGUUAAUAGGCAACAAGUGCACACACACACAAACACACAUUAAGUCAAAGCUUCAGACAUGCUCUCUUGCGCCUCUCUUGCUUUCCUGCUCCCGCUCCUUCCCCAUUCCCUUCCCCCCUCUUUCUCCACAUGCUCAUGGCUGGCUUCUACUCCUCUACACUCUCUCUCUCUCUCCCUUUUUCUGCCUCCACUACUCUCUUGACUCCUUUCCCCAUUCCCUGAAUAAACUCUAUUCUAUACUUAAAAAA
ensembl:antisense Mypopos Myb-related transcription factor, partner of profilin, opposite strand